rnacentral:lncRNA from 1 species
AGCCAGUUUAAUGAGGCAGUUAAGGGAAAAGAGGAACGCUCGGAGGUGCACUGUAGCUACUGUGCCAUCAGAUGUUAUCUUAAGCUGCUGAAGAGCAGUCUGCUUGUCCUGCUCAUUUAGGAUAAAACAUACACACACAGCUCUGCCAGCAGGUCUGGAGAAGGAAAAAGAAAAGCUGGGGCUUUCCCACCAUCUGGAUCUAGAAGAGAACAGCCAUCCACAGCCUUCCUUAGAGGAAACUUCGUGUUAGAGGCUCCCAUUUCAGCACAGAAGGUAAUGGAGUGGGGGAUAGGAGAAGAAUAGGUGAUGUUGAUUCAACUGGAGAUGCAGCAUGAAACAAUCCUUGGGAAAUAGUGUGAUCACCAUAGCUGUCUUCAGGAUUGGAGAGAAAAGGCACUGGCAGAUUUGGACAGAUUCCUUCUACCUCUGACUCUAAAGACUUCUCUUAUGCUUAGGCUCAGACUCAAAUUAAAGGAAUCACUAACUGCUUAAUCUUAAGCACAUUAUAAAGUUCAGCAUCAAGUGAUUUAAACACGUUCUUAUCAAUCUUCAGUCGGGAACCUCUGAUCCUUCUUUUCUUGUCUAAGCUUUAAAACAUAGCAGGGUCUGAUCUUAACACUAUACACGCAGAUGGUCAGUCUGUGAGAGGGCAGCAUUGUGACUGCCCAUUCCACGUUCGAGGCACUGUGACAUGGAAUAAAGCUAAAGGCUUUGGCAUUAGCCUGCAGUGACAGACUUUAGGAAUAAGAUUCUGCCAACCAAGAUCCUAGAGAGAACAUUACUGUCCUUUCACCCUGCAUCCACAUCUGCAUGAAGCCUCUCUCCUCCAGACAGUGCCCAGGAGCAUGGCCCGCAGAACUGCACUGUCAACACUUCCCACACGCUGCUUACACGGCGAGAAGGUGCAGCAGAAACAUCUUCUCUGCACCUAGAGAAACUGGUGAGCUACCCCUCCUUGCCACGCAUUCCACCAAAAAGCUGGCAGAAACCUUCUCACACAUGGGAAGGGAGCAGGGAAGCCAUAAUUAGUUCAUGGAGA